rnacentral:rRNA from 1 species
GGGCGAUGGCCUGAACCGCCAAGUAGCGUGAAGGAUGACUGCCCUAUGGGUUGUAAACUUCUUUUAUAAAGGAAUAAAGUCGGGUAUGCAUACCCGUUUGCAUGUACUUUAUGAAUAGGAUCGGCUAACUCCGUGCCAGCAGCCGCGGUAAUACGGAGGAUCCGAGCGUUAUCCGGAUUUAUUGGGUUUAAAGGGAGCGUAGAUGGAUGUUUAAGUCAGUUGUGAAAGUUUGCGGCUCAACCGUAAAAUUGCAGUUGAUACUGGAUGUCUUGAGUGCAGUUGAGGCAGGCGGAAUUCGUGGUGUAGCGGUGAAAUGCUUAGAUAUCACGAAGAACUCC